rnacentral:rRNA from 1 species
GAUGAACGCUGGCGGCGUGCUUAACACAUGCAAGUCGAACGGAAAGGCCGAAGCUUGCUUCGGUACUCGAGUGGCGAACGGGUGAGUAACACGUGGGUGAUCUGCCCUGUACUUCGGGAUAAGCUUGGGAAACUGGGUCUAAUACCGGAUAUGACAAUCUCUUGGAUGGGGUUGUGGAAAGCUUUUGCGGUAUGGGAUGAGCUCGCGGCCUAUCAGCUUGUUGGUGGGGUAAUGGCCUACCAAGGCGUCGUCGGGUAUCCGGCCUGAGAGGGUGUACGGCCACAUUGGGACUGAGAUACGGCCCAGACUCCUACGGGAGGCAGCAGUGGGGAAUAUUGCACAAUGGGCGCAAGCCUGAUGCAGCGACGCCGCGUGGGGGAUGACGGCCUUCGGGUUGGAAACUUCUUUCGCAACCGACGAAGCUUUUUGUGACGGUAGGUGGAGAAGAAGCACCGGCUAACUACGUG